CAGUGGAGAAGGCGGUACAUCAAAGAAAGUUUGUAUCUGAUUGAACAGCCUCUAUUGUUGAUGAAGUUGUGGAGAAGAGGAACUAUUGCAGGCUGGUCGCAGUUUCAGACAUCUGAAGAUACACAUUACUUGGAUGGCUAAAUUAGUAGGUGCUACACAAGCAACUAGGUGAUUCAAUUCAGCGAAGGCGUGGUCGUACCUCUGCACAGCGAACUCAAGCACCACUUCUAAUAUUGUUGGAAAGUGGAUAAGUCGUUUUGGAGCAUUACACGAUUUGUUCAGUCUACUUCGCUAUGUUCCUUACAUGCAAAAGUGUUGUUGCAGACUUGAAGGUAUAUGCAUCAGAAG